CUCGCUGACAAUUGUGGCUUGUCAAGAGAGGAAAACAGCCUGAAGAUUAAUGCUUUGAGUCAAGUUAAAAGGAUAAAAGCAACAGACUGAAGACAGUGCCCUGGGAAGGAGAGCAUUUAAUGGAUGGGCAGAAAAAGAGGAGCCUCUAAAGGACACAGAAAACAAACAGCCUGAGGCAUAUGAAGAGCACCAGGAGAUGAAGUGUUUUGCAAACCAAGAGUGGAGAGAUCCAAGAUGAGCCCUCCAAAACAGACUCACUCCAAAAGUUAAUGCUUUCUAACACCUCAGUGUUAAUGCUUUUUAAAAACGACAAUGUUAAUAAUACACAAAUAUCUUCUGUUCACAAAUUCCUUUCAAUUCUUCUAAUUUUUAAUUUCUUCACUUUCUUAUUCCCAUAGUCCUCAGGAUGUGAUACUGUAUGUCCUCUUGAGGGGUACAGAACAUGAUUACCCAUCUUUAACAACAGGGCAAGUAAACAACAACAAAGAAGGCGGUUUGAUUAGCCAGUUCAUGGCUUAUCCUCAUCCUUCACUUUUGUUUCCUUCUGAUGCUCACUUUAAGCAAUUUUGGAGUUUGUUGGCACUUCUUUAGGGGCAAGUCAGGAAUAAAAAAUAAA